rnacentral:lncRNA from 1 species
CAGUACCCUUGACUCCUAGCCCAUGACUCACAACAGCCUAACUCACAGCCCCUGACUCAGAGCCCGCCUGACUCACAGCUCCCCUUGACUCACGGCCCCCAACUCACAUACUCCAGACUCACAGCCCCUCUGAUUCCCAGACUGUAUUCUGUCUGUUUAAUGGACCCUCCCUGGGCUCAGUUCUGUGUGGGCUUCAAGUAAAUACCACCUGCUUCUCAGCUGCGGCUGGCGCAAAUAGCAUAUAUGGAAGGGGAUCUGAAUAGCUUUCCUGUCCCCGAGUGGAGGAAAAUUGCAGCUCUCUCCAUGGUGAACGGAGAUGACAGAGAAUCACUGGGAAGUCUCAGGGACUGUCUGCCAUGCGGUCUCACCUAAGGCAAUCCACAAAUGGAGAGACUAGGAUGCUUCAUCUUUUCGUUUGUUUGAUGCUCAGUCUUGAUUGCUGACUCUAUGGGAUUAGAAUCACCAUAGAAACAGGUGAGUCUUUGGAGAAGUUUCUAGAAUAGGUUAACUGAGGCAGGAAGAGUCAUCAUAAAUGUGCUCUGCACCAUUCUGUAGAUAAGGGGCCGCAGACUGGGAAAACAAACAAACAAAAACCAGAGGAAGCCAGCUGAGCGACAGCGCUCAUCUUUCCCUCAGCUUCCUGACUCCAGAUGGAAUGGGACUAACUGCCACCAUCACUGUCACCUCCCUACCAUGAUGGACUCUACCUUCAAACUGUGAUCCCAAACAAACUCUUCACUGUGAGUCCAAACAAACUCUUCCUUCCUCAAGUUGCUUCUCGUUAAGUAUUUAGUCACAGUGGUGAGAAAAGUAACUGAUCCAGACUGAAUCGCAGAGAUACGAAGACUUCGCCCAGGUUUCCCAGCAAAUACACACUGGGUGUGAGAUUUCACCUGUCUGCCUCU